AUUGAACGCUGGCGGCAGGCUUAACACAUGCAAGUCGAGCGGAGAGAGGUAGCUUGCUGCUGAUCUUAGCGGCGGACGGGUGAGUAAUGCUUAGGAAUCUGCCUAUUAGUGGGGGACAACAUUUCGAAAGGAAUGCUAAUACCGCAUACGUCCUACGGGAGAAAGCAGGGGAUCUUCGGACCUUGCGCUAAUAGAUGAGCCUAAGUCGGAUUGGCUAGGUGGUGGGGUAGAGGCCUACCAAGGCGACGAUCUGUAGCGGGUCUGAGAGGAUGAUCCGCAACACUGCGACUGAGACACAGCCCAGCCCCCUGCGGGAGGCAGGAGGGGGGAAUAUUGGACAAUGGGCGCAAGCCUGAUCCAGCCAUGCCGCGUGUGUGAAGAAGGCCUUAUGGUUGUAAAGCACUUUAAGCGAGGAGGAGGCUACUUGAGUUAAUACCUAGAGAUAGUGGACGUUACUCGCAGAAUAAGCACCGGCUAACUCUGUGCCAGCCGCCGCCGUAAAAC
rnacentral:rRNA from 1 species